rnacentral:rRNA from 1 species
UACGUAGGGUGCAAGCGUUGUCCGGAAUUAUUGGGCGUAAAGAGCUCGUAGGCGGUUUGUUGCGUCGGCUGUGAAAUCCCGAGGCUCAACCUCGGGUCUGCAGUCGAUACGAGCAAACUAGAGUGUUGCAGGGGAGACUGGAAUUCCUGGUGUAGCGGUGAAAUGCGCAGAUAUCAGGAGGAACACCGGUGGCGAAGGCGGGUCUCUGGGGCAACAACUGACGCUGGAGGAGCG